UACGGAGGGUGCAAGCGUUAUCCGGAUUUACUGGGUUUAAAGGGUGCGUAGGUGGGUUGGUAAGUCAGUGGUGAAAUCUUCGAGCUUAACUCGGAAACUGCCAUUGAUACUAUCAAUCUUGAAUAUCCUGGAGGUAAGCGGAAUAUGUCAUGUAGCGGUGAAAUGCUUAGAUAUGACAUAGAACACCCAUUGCGAAGGCAGCUUACUACGGGAUUAUUGACACUGAGGCACGAAAGCGUGGGGAUCAAACAGG
rnacentral:rRNA from 1 species